rnacentral:tRNA from 1 species
GCUCAGUUGGUUGAGUGCCCAACUCUUGAUUUCGGGUCAGGUCAUGAUCUCACGGUUUGUGGGAUCAAGUCCCACAUUGGGCU